AGCCAGCGUGGUGUAGUGGUUAGAGUGUUGGACUAAGGCCUGGGAGACCGGGGUUCAAAUCCCCACUUGGCCA